rnacentral:rRNA from 1 species
AUUGAACGCUGGCGGAAUGCUUUACACAUGCAAGUCGAACGGCAGCACGGGGGCAACCCUGGUGGCGAGUGGCGAACGGGUGAGUAAUACAUCGGAACGUGCCCAGUCGUGGGGGAUAACGUAGCGAAAGCUACGCUAAUACCGCAUACGAACUCUGGUUGAAAGCGGGGGACUCGCAAGAGCCUCGCGCGAUUGGAGCGGCCGAUGGCAGAUUAGGUAGUUGGUGGGGUAAAGGCCACCAAGCCGACGAUCUGUAGCUGGUCUGAGAGGAUGAUCAGCCACACUGGGACUGAGACACGGCCCAGACUCCUACGGGAGGCAGCAGUGGGGUAAUUUUGGACAAUGGGCGCAAGCCUGAUCCAGCCAUUCCGCGUGCAGGAUGAAGGCCCUCGGGUUGUAAACUGCUUUUGUACGGAACGAAAGGUCUGAGUUAAUACCUCGGGCUGAUGACGGUACCGUAAGAAUAAGCACCGGCUAACUACGUGCCAG